rnacentral:rRNA from 1 species
UACGGGGGGGGCAAGCGUUGUUCGGAAUUACUGGGCGUAAAGGGCUCGUAGGCGGCCAUCUAAGUCGGACGUGAAAUCCCCAGGCUCAACCUGGGAACUGCAUUCGAGACUGCAUUGCUAGAGUAUGGGAGAGGGAAGUGGAAUUUCCGGUGUAGCGGUGAAAUGCGUAGAUAUCGGAAGGAACAUCAGUGGCGAAAGCGACUUCCUGGACCAAUACUGACGCUCAUGUGCGAAAGCGUGGGGAGCAAACAGG